UACGUAGGGUGCAAGCGUUGUCCGGAUUUAUUGGGCGUAAAGAGCGUGUAGGCGGCCAGGUAGGUCUGCUGUGAAAACUCGAGGCUCAACCUCGAGACGUCGGCGGAAACCAUCUGGCUAGAGUCCGGAAGAGGAGAGUGGAAUUCCUGGUGUAGCGGUGAAAUGCGCAGAUAUCAGGAAGAACACCCGUGGCGAAAGCGGCUCUCUGGAACGGUACUGACGCUGAGACGCGAAAGCGUGGGAGCGAACAGG
rnacentral:rRNA from 1 species